AUGAAAGAUCUGGGAGAAGCCGAUGUAAUUCUAAACAUCAAACUUAUUAAGGAUGAGAGUGGGAUUACAUUAACGCAAUCUCACUAUGUUGAGAAGGUCUUGAACAGAUUCGAUUUUAUGGAUAGCAAGCCUUCUCCAACACCUUAUGAUCCCAGCGUGACACUCAGAAAGAACAAGAAAGAAACGAGAGAUCAAUUAAGAUACUCUCAAAUUGUCGGUUCACUCAUGUACUUAGCUAGCGCUACAAGACCAGAUAUCUCUUUUGCUGUGAGCAAACUGAGUAGGUUCAUGUCCAACCCGGGUGAUGAUCAUUGGCAUGCACUAGAAAGGGUCUUGCGCUAUCUGAGAGGUACUAUGAGUUACGGAAUUACUUAUUCAGGGCAUCCUGCUGUGCUAGAAGGAUAUAGUGAUUCAAAUUGGAUCUUCGAUGUUGAUGUACUCUACGCAACAAGUGGGUAUGUAUUUACUCAUGGUGGUGGCGCAGUGUCAUGGAGGUCUUGCAAGCAAACCAUAUUGACGAGGUCAACUAUGGAAGCAGAAUUAACUGCUUUGGACACAGCUACUGUUGAGGCAGAAUGGCUGCGUGAGCUCUUGAUGGACUUGCCGGUUGUUGAAAAACCUGUACCGGCUAUUCUUAUGAAUUGUGAUAACCAAACGGUUAUCGCUAAAGUGAACAAUUCUAAAGAUAAUGCAAAGUCAUCAAGACACGUGAAGAGACGUUUGAAGUCUGUCAGGAAGUUGAGAAACUCCGGAGUAAUAACUGUUACGUAUAUACAAACAGACAAAAGCCUGGCAGAUCCUUUUACAAAGGGACUAUCACGAAAUGUGAUAGAUAUUGCAUCGAGGGAGAUGGGUAUGAGACCCAUAGCAUUCUUGAAAGAACACACCUAUAUGAGUUCUGACUGUAAACGUCGCAGUCUAUGA
rnacentral:rRNA from 1 species